rnacentral:lncRNA from 1 species
UUUAUUUGGAACAAUAGCUUUAAAAGCAGACUCCUGCUUCUCUAAGUUUAAGUAUUGGGAAGCCAAGGGGACAAAAUUCCAAUUUAGUGACUGAACCCUCACUUUUUCCAGAUUGUUCUUCCCUUAAAACAGGUAACAACAGUGAUUGUAAUUUCAACUAAGGAGUUUGGCACUAAUUCAAAAUGAGGAUUUUAAUAAACUUCACUGUUAUCCUAACAUCUCCUCUCUUCUCCUAAAACCAUAUAUGUGAAGUACUAGUAAACUAGGCCUUGGACACAUACUGGAUUUCGUUACUUGUCAAAACAUGCGUGACAGAGUGUUCUUGAUUGAUUUGAAGUUUCAUUACAAGAUCCUGUCAGAGGGAAGAAAACUAUGGAAGAUUAAUUCUACUCAGCUGAACUUGUCAGUGAUGAGUGUAACUGUGUUUUAAAGCAGAAUUCCAAGUCUUCAGGCAUGGCAGAGAAUCAACUGGUUACUCAAGAUAUGAUCACCAAACUAUUAGAUACACUGGUUAUAGUCCUCCUGGUUAAAUAUUUCAAAAACACUCAAUUAAGAGGUCAAUCGAUAUAGUUGUGCAAAUCCAAAGUUUUGGAAAAUGGAGACAUACUCUGAAGAAGGAAGAAUAAAAAGUAACAGAAAAAAAAUGUUGUUUGCAAACUGGACUAUUCUUGCUUAUACAUCUCUAUAAAUACCAUGAUUAAUUACAAGCUGUAAGGAAAGGAGAAAGAAAAUA